AGUAAAUCCUUACACAUAUAACUUUGCUCCCAAGUAACAUGGAACACGAGGAAUUCUGUGUGAAUCUGUGAGGACCAUAUCUCAUAAGGCUAAAUACUCUUACUAACCGAUAGCGCAUAGUACCGUGAGGGAAAGGUGAAAAGAACCCCUGGAGGGGAGUGAAAUAGAACCUGAAAUUGUGUGCUUACAAGCGGUCAGAGCCAGUGAUGGUGAUGGCGUGCCUUUUGGAGAAUGAUCCUGCGAGUUACGUUAAACGGCGAGGUUAAGUAUAACGGAGCCGAAGGGAAACCAAGUCUUAAUAGGGCGAUUUAGUCGUUUGGCGUAGACGCGAAACCUGGUGAUCUAAACCUGUCCAGGAUGAAGCUGUGGUAAGACACAGUGGAGGUCCUAACCCACCGCCGUUGAAAAGUUGGGGGAUGAGGUAGGUUUAGGGGUGAAAAGCCAAUCGAACCAGGAGAUAGCUCGUUCUCUCCGAAAUGCAUCUAGGUGCAGCCUUGAGUGUUCAAUUAUGGGGGUAGAGCACUGAAUGAUCUAGGGGGCGUAUUGCUUACUGAAAUCAAUCAAACUCCGAAUACCAUAAUUUAGAGCUCAGGAGUGAGACUAUGGGAGUUAACUUCCAUUGUCGAAAGGGA
rnacentral:rRNA from 1 species